AUUGAACGCUGGCGGCAGGCCUAACACAUGCAAGUCGAGCGGAUGAAGGGAGCUUGCUCCUGGAUUCAGCGGCGGACGGGCGAGUAAUGCCUAGGAAUCUGCCUGGUAGUGGGGGAUAACGUCCGGAAACGGGCGCUAAUACCGCAUACGUCCUGAGGGAGAAAGUGGGGGAUCUUCGGACCUCACGCUAUCAGAUGAGCCUAGGUCGGAUUAGCUAGUUGGUGGGGUAAAGGCCUACCAAGGCGACGAUCCGUAACUGGUCUGAGAGGAUGAUCAGUCACACUGGAACUGAGACACGGUCCGGACUCCUACGGGAGGCAGCAGUGGGGAAUAUUGGACAAUGGGCGAAAGCCUGAUCCAGCCAUGCCGCGUGUGUGAAGAAGGUCUUCGGAUUGUAAAGCACUUUAAGUUGGGAGGAAGGGCAGUAAGUUAAUACCUUGCUGUUUUGACGUUACCAACAGAAUAAGCACCGGCUAACUUCGUG
rnacentral:rRNA from 1 species